CCAGAGGCGGGCGGUGCGCGCAAGUGCGCGUGACGCUUGGGCUCCUGGGCUGCGCAGCCUGGGCAGCGUCCCUCCGCUGGGGUCUCCAGCGACGAUACCCAGGCAGCGGAGCGCACCGCCCACCAGGGCUCGGGGUCCUCCGACCGGGUGAAGCUUCGCUGGCUGCCAGGGUCCCCGACCGGGAUGCACUUCAGCACGGUCACCAGAGACAUGGAAGGAAAAGAACGUCUGGGAGAGAGAGAGGAGAAACGCACGCGGGCGGGCGGCAGAGCGAGGGCCGGCCGACGGGCCCGGCGCAUCGGUG